rnacentral:tRNA from 1 species
UCCUUCGUGAUGAAAUGGUAUACAUGCGUGAUUCAAAAUCAUGUGCGAAAGCUUGCCGGUUCGAGUCCGGUCGAAGGUA